CGCCGGGCUUUCUCCGGCCGCCGCCGCCACUGCCGCUGCUUCGCGGGCUGGAGGGCCCAGGCGUCCCUGGGCGAGCGGAGGCUGCGGUUGCCUGAAGCGAGUGGGCCGGGCUCCGGAGCCUCCAGGCAGGAUCUCGGGGCCUCCCGAGGUUGCAGCGGAUGGUGGAGGGCGGCGCAGACAUGGCUCACCUCAGGGGCUUUGCCAACCAGGUAAGGGUUGGCAUCCGGGGAGAGGGGUGUGUGUGUUUACCGGAGCACCGACUGCAGAGGCUAAGCAAGGGCGCUUCCUCCAGGACUGUCAUCCUGAGGUUUCAGAGGAGCGGUCCCUCCGAGGGCGAGCGUGGGGUGAAGGGAGGCGCGGGGGAGUCCUGCGGAGCGCGUCGUGGGCGAAGCGGGGAGCAGUCUCGAGGCGCUCAGACUUGGUGAGCGCAGGGGCGACUCAGCUUGGCCAGCUUGCCCAGUUGUGUGGGGCAGAAGCCCACAAGCUUGGCAAAAUAGAGCCCCAGUGCAGGGGCAGCAGAGGCUGUGCAGAGCCCUGUGGUGGGAACAGGGCAGGGGCCGCUGGCUCUGGUGGGAAUCCUGCCGAGCAUGAAUCUGCACCUGGAGAGACCUGCAAGGUCAGGGUCCACGCUGGGGCCGCAGCCUGGGCGGGGACACAGGCCGUGUUGUGCUGGGCAGGGGCUGUGCUGACGCAGCUCUCGAGUCUGUGCGCGGGGAGAGCAGAGCACAGGAGAGGAUGAGAGGGCUGCUCCCGGGCCACAGGUGCUCCUUGGGAAGACACCCACUGCCUUUCUCUUUGGGGGACUGGGUCUUGGGAUUGCCAACAGCAAAAGCCAUCUGGGGGUGUCUGGCCUUGAGCGGUAACUGGCUGAUUCCGGGGGACCCUCCAAAGCGCACCCUGGGUUGUGUGGCACAUGGUUUGUACUUUCCUCUUGUCUGUUAUUGGGAAGCAGGUGUGAUCUGCAGCUGGUAGGACGUGGAGUGUGCCGCUCUGGCUCUGGUAGCCAGGUUUUCCUGUGGCCACUGCUUGGCUUUGUUUUCCUCGGCCGCCUGCUGAAAGGUGUAAGGCAGCGUCCUCGGGUGUAAGGCUGAGUCCCCAGGCUGAGUCCGCGAGGCCUGGGCGCCAGGGGAGCAGGAAGUGUGUAUCCACGGGGCGGGGGAGGGGCUGGGGUCAGGAUCGGCUCCACACCCAACAGGCUUCCUCGCAGAAACCUGCCACGUGCUGCCGCCGGGCAGGGCAUCCUGGACUAGCCGUGCCACAGGUGGGCACUGGCACUUCUGCUGAUGCUGAAGCCCGCUGGCAGGUCUUUCAUUCAUCUUUGACAUCUCGUGUCUUGUAAAUUACAUGACGGAGAAGCUGGGAGAAAAACCUGGCUUCAGCUAUUUUUAAGAGCUGUAGAAAUGGGUCCCGCGGGUCCUGGAAUAGGAAGUUGGAGCUGAGCCACCCUGUCCCUGUGUGCUGGUGGCACUAGGGGCUUGGCUUGGGUGUCCAGACCAGAUGCCCAGGGAAGGGAGCACAGCCCAGAGGAGCUGAGGAAGGGACCCUGAAGGAAGGAAGCCCCUUUUGUCCUCUGGGGCGGAGAGACUUGGCCUUUGUCAGUGGCAGGAAGCCUGACAGGACAUUGUUUUCUCUUGCGAGGGUUGUCACUGUGGCCCUGCGAGGCGGUCCCUGUGUGGGGCAGUGCGGUGAGCUCCCCCACGGCCCGCAGGGGGCCCUCCACUCCUGGCCUCUGCCCGGCUGGUUCCUUGUUCCUACCCUGCCCGCAGGGUCUGGCUGGCUGCAGGAAGCUCAUUGGCUGCCACCCAUCGUGGGGUGGUUGGGGGCCGUUGGGCACCCCUCAUUUUGUGGGGCGAUAUGACCAGCAGACAUACUGCCUGGUAGUGGCCACUGACCUCGCAUGCCCAGGGCUGACCAGAGGACAAGGGUCUGGACUGCCAGCAGCCUGAGCCCUUGUCUGAACCACGCCCGUCUCUGGAAGGGGAGUGCAAGGCCAGCUCGGGAGCAGUUGUCCUUCCUUCCUUCCACCAGCUCUGGCCGCAGGUGUCCCUGUGAUGUGCCUGUAGGGUCAGGGUCACAGCCAGGAGCGCUCCCGUCAUGCUGUCUGCUCAGGAGACUGACCCACAGCAGUGGGGACCCAAAAAGUGUGACGUUGGGACCAGAGCUCCCCCCACUGCUGAGUCUGGAGCCCCUGGUCCAGGGGUCUGCCCAGUUCCCUCAGGAGCCGUGGAGGUCUGGGCACCCAGCUGGGUGUGCCUCUCGUCAAGCCGUUGGGGUGGAGAGUGCAGGCUGCAGUGAGAAGAGGGAGGCCUGAGGGUGGGAGGGGAACCCGGAAAGCCCGAGGAACAGUGCUGCCCGGCCUCGGUCCCACCUCCUCCAGGUCCCCUCUGAGGCCCCCUUGGAAGUAGAGGCACCGUUUCUAGGAGCCCUGGCUGGAUGAGCUGGGGGUGGAGGCCCUGCAGGCCAGCACUUAGCUGGGUGCUCAGGGGCCUAGUGAAGGGGACGUGGGGGCACUGGGCCAGGUGGCAUUUGGGCCCAGUGCCCAGGGGUUUGGGGGGGUGCAAGCGGGCGGGGGCUGUUUCCUGGUCUCUGUGGGAGGCCGUCUUCAUGCUGGUGAGUCUUCAUGCUGGUGACAGGCUCGCAGAGUCCUUGAGGCUGGCCACUCAGGGCGGGGCUCUGAUCUCGAGGUCCCCACCCCAAAGACAGCUGAGCAGCUGGGACUUUCAGAAUAUGCGUAGCAGGGGGAGAAAGUGUCCUCACGGGUGGCCUGAGGAACCCAGGUGGCAGCCACCUGGCCCUGUGCUGCACUGGCUGCAGCUUCCGCGGGGGAGGUGCGAGUGGGCACCUUGGCUCUGGCCACCUCAUGGAGGCCGGCCCACCAUGCCGGGGCCUGGCCCUCGGCCCUCCCUGCUCGCCUGGCCCCGCUGGCUCCCCCUACGAGGCCCUCUUUGGGCUCACGUGGCCCCUCUGUUUCCAGACCUGGGGAGGCAGCUGUUGGCACGUGGGAUGUGUGCCGCCUCUGUCCGGAGCCCGCCUGGGGCUGAGCCCAAGGGCUGGCCGUGCCGAGGUCAGUGCGCUGCCCAGGGCUGGGCCCCCUUGGCUCCAGAGCGGUCGGUGCUUCCACAGCAAAGCCAGUUGUGAUUUGGCCUUUUUGCUUCUGGCCACUUCAGGUGGUCGCCAAGACACGUCCGGUGACACUGCUGAGGCGUGGGGGCAGCCUCUCUGGAGGGAGGUGUGUCCUGUUGGGUGUGAGGCCUGCAGGGCUUAGAGAGCCCUUUCUGCCCCCAUCGGGACUGGACGCCAGGCUCCCCGCCCACCCUUCACAGGCCCUGCCUGGGGCUCCAACCCCAUGCAGGUCCCUGGGCUCCAGCCCCUGGGCCACUGCUGGGCCUCUGAGAACAUGGCCAGUAGCCUGGCGGAGGGGGUGAGGUGCCCUCAGGGGGCCACUUGGGUGGGGCUGGGGAACACCAAGGGUGGCCCUAGAGGCUCUGGUGUCUUCCACGCAGCCCCCGAGUUGCGCUGUCUCAGCCCCGACCCACUGAGGGUCAAGGUCAAAAGCGGGCUUGUCCCCUGUGGGACCGUCCUGCGUCUUGCCAGGCCCCCUGCACCCACGGCUCAGCCCUGAGGACCAGGGGCGCAGUUUUCCAUAAAGGCCAACACCUAGGAUCGCCCAUCAAGGAGUCAUUUCUUAGCUCAGGGUCCUGGUGUGCGGGGGUGGCCGUCCCCAGGACUGACUGGGGGCUUGGAGGGGCCUCUGAGGGGUGUGGCUUCCAGGUGCACAGGGAGGACUCAGUUGGUGUUGUUUAAUUGAUAGCCUUUAUUUUUCAGAGCCGUUGUAGGUUUAAAGGGAAAUGAGUGAGCUGGUUCCACCUGUCCAUCGCCCCUCCCCCGGGGGUUUGUUACAGUGGGUGACAAGCGUGGACGUGCUGUGACCAAGUCUGCAGCCUGCGAGGCUCGCCCUGGGUGGUGCCAGCACCGUCCAGGUCCCGGUGUUCCCCCGACUCCUCCCUCUGAACCCGUUCCUGGGGGGCACCGGGUCCUCCCCACGCGUGGGGUGUGGGCGGGUCCGGCGUGGCCUGCGUGGCCCCUCUGGCUGCCCCAUGGCCCGGACUCUUGGCCAGAGCCGGGCCCCCCCACACCCUCGGGGGGGGUUUUGCCUUUGGCUUCGGGUUUCUCAAUGGAAAGGGAUCAAAGAAGGAAGGCAGGAAGCCGCGUGAGCUCCCGGCGCUCGGGGUCAGCGCGGCCCGCCCCGUGUCCCCAGCACCCCCGCGUGGACCCCGAGGAGCUCUUCACCAAGCUCGACCGCAUCGGCAAGGGCUCGUUCGGCGAGGUGUACAAGGGCAUCGACAACCGCACCAAGGAGGUGGUGGCCAUCAAGACCAUCGACCUGGAGGAGGCCGAGGACGAGAUCGAGGACAUCCAGCAGGAGAUCACGGUGCUCAGCCAGUGCGACAGCCCCUACAUCACGCGCUACUUCGGCUCCUACCUGAAGGGCACGAAGCUGUGGAUCAUCAUGGAGUACCUGGGCGGCGGCUCUGCCUUGGACCUGCUUAAGCCGGGGCCCCUGGAGGAGACUUACAUCGCCACGAUCCUGCGGGAGAUCCUGAGGGGCCUGGAUUACCUGCACUCGGAGCGCAAGAUCCACCGAGACAUCAAAGCUGCCAAUGUGCUGCUCUCGGAGCAGGGCGACGUGAAGCUGGCGGACUUCGGCGUGGCGGGGCAGCUCACGGACACGCAAAUCAAGAGGAACACGUUUGUGGGCACCCCCUUCUGGAUGGCGCCCGAGGUCAUCAAGCAGUCGGCCUAUGACUUCAAGGCGGACAUCUGGUCGCUGGGGAUCACGGCCAUCGAGCUGGCCAAAGGCGAGCCCCCGAACUCUGACCUCCACCCCAUGCGCGUCCUGUUCCUGAUCCCCAAGAACAGCCCCCCCACGCUGGAGGGCCACCACAGCAAGCCCUUCAAGGAGUUCGUGGAGGCCUGCCUCAACAAGGACCCCCGAUUUCGGCCCACCGCCAAGGAGCUGCUGAAGCACAAGUUCAUCACGCGCUACACCAAGAAGACCUCCUUCCUCACCGAGCUCAUCGACCGCUACAAGCGCUGGAGGUCGGAGGGCCACGGCGAGGAGUCCAGCUCUGAGGACUCGGACAUCGACGCAGAUGCCGAGGAUGGAGAGCAGGGCCCCAUCUGGACCUUCCCCCCCACCAUCCGGCCGAGCCCGCACGGCAAGCUGCACAAGGGGACGGCCUUGCACGGCCCGCAGAAGUCGGCAGAGCCAGUCAAGAGGCAGCCGAGGUCCCAGUGCCUGUCCACGCUGGUCCGGCCUGUCUUCGGAGAGGUGAGGCCUGGGGGGCAGCGGUGUCCCCCACCGCGCUGGGCCACGGUGUCUAUGUCCCUUAGAGCCCAUGAGGGUGGACCCAGGGACCUGGCUUUCCGAGUGGAAGGACUGGAAGUGGCUGGGACAAGCUGGCCUGAUGGAACCCUCAAGUGUCCAAGCCUGCAGGGUCCUUGGGGCCCAGGGGGCUUUGUGAGGAACCCUUGUCCGGGGACCUUUUAUCUCGACCCGCAGACACACGGGUGACUCUGUCUAGAGAGCCCUGAGGUUUAGGUGGUGGUGGUGGGCAGCAGGCCCCCACCGGGGAGGCCUUAGGGGCAACUCCUCAGGGGUCUGGUGACCGUGUCUGUGUCAUCUGCUGACAGGUGGUUGGUACUGCCCCCAGGAGUGCACGUCAGCAGUGGGCGUGGGCCUCAUUUGCACCCGGGGAGACGGGGGCCUGGAGCCCAGGGUUGGGGUGCGGGAUGUGAGUGUGGAGGCAGCAGAGGCUUUCUGGGCUGGAGGGGUCAGAACACAGGCAGGCAGGCUCCCGCCCCCUGGGCCUGGAGUGCUGGCCGGAGCUGGGGACGCCUGUCAGGGGCCCAAGGGAGGCCCCACACAGGGCAGGGCCAGUACGCACGUGUACUGUGUGUGUACACGUUUGUGUACAUGUGCAGUGUGCGCACGCGUGUGUGCGUACGCUCGCGUGUGUACCCGUGCAUGUACUGGUUUUGCAGGGCCCUGUGGCCAGUGAGGUAGGGUGGUGGUGCCCACCUAGGCUGGCGGGGGGAGACCCUGGGUCUUAGUUCUGGGGGCUGGGGCCUGACGUCAGGCUGCUGGCGGGCGUCCUGGGAGGUGUGCACCCCUCUGCCCUUGGGGUUCCGGGCUUUGAGGGGAGGGCUGGUUGGCCACAGGGCAGGGGGUUGCUGGUGGUCCUCUGGCCCCAGGGGUCAGGCCAGCUGGGUCUGGCCAUGAUCUCUCACAAGCUGGACCUGAGCUAUGGGAGGAAGCCACAUGUUUAGAGUGGAGAGACCCUCCUGAGAACCAAAACCCGGGCAGGCCUGCGGCGCGGGGGCCACCUUUCCUGGGCGCCUGUCCCGCAGGUGGGUGGCAGGACCUGCUCAGCCCGGCUUUGCAGCGGGUGUGGGCGCCCUGCCGGUUGCAGUUCCACUCCCAGUCGGGGGGUGGGGGCCUGGAGGUCAGGCGCACACGGGUCUCUCCGCAGCUCAAAGAGAAGCACAGGCAGAACGGCGGCGGCGUGGGGGCGCUGGAGGAGCUGGAGAACGCCUUCAGCCUGGCCGAGGAGUCCUGCCCCGGCAUCUCGGACAAGCUGAUGGCCCACUUGGUGGAGCGCGUGCAGAGGUUCUCCCACAGCAGAAACCACCUGACGUCGACCCGCUGACGCUGCUGCUCUUGGCGCCGCCGGGGAGGGGUCUCUGUCCUGCGCGCCGCCAGGACUGUGCUGACUCGGAGCCCCGCUGCUGUCCUGGCCGGGUCCCACCCCCCUCCACCCCCGCAGAGGGCGGUCCCACUUCCACGUCCCUCCCGGUCGGACCAAGGCCAUGCUCGGCAGCGAGGAGGUGGCCGUGUGGCCGCCCAGACCGCGGGGCAGAGACCUCGCUGAGCAGGUGUGCCGCCGCCCAGCCGGGCCUGGCCUCAAAAGGCCGUAGAUUUGCCUUGUGUCAGACCAGGUACCGCGUUGUCUUCUAAGUACUCGUGUCAGAAUGUUUUGUUUUUUAAGAAAACCCGCCUUCCUUGCUUCCCUGGGCGUCCGAGGUGAAGGUGUUAGUUUUCACAGAACCGUGAGGGCUCCUGCUGCUUUCAAUAAAGACCUGAAUGACGACUGCUGCUA